rnacentral:rRNA from 2 species
AAGUCGGACGAACUCUGGUAUUGAUUGGUGCUUGCAUCAUGAUUUACAUUUGAGUGAGUGGCGAACUGGUGAGUAACACGUGGGAAACCUGCCCAGAAGCGGGGGAUAACACCUGGAAACAGAUGCUAAUACCGCAUAACAACUUGGACCGCAUGGUCCGAGUUUGAAAGAUGGCUUCGGCUAUCACUUUUGGAUGGUCCCGCGGCGUAUUAGCUAGAUGGUGAGGUAACGGCUCACCAUGGCAAUGAUACGUAGCCGACCUGAGAGGGUAAUCGGCCACAUUGGGACUGAGACACGGCCCAAACUCCUACGGGAGGCAGCAGUAGGGAAUCUUCCACAAUGGACGAAAGUCUGAUGGAGCAACGCCGCGUGAGUGAAGAAGGGUUUCGGCUCGUAAAACUCUGUUGUUAAAGAAGAACAUAUCUGAGAGUAACUGUUCAGGUAUUGACGGUAUUUAACCAGAAAGCCACGGCUAACUACGUGCCAGCAGCCGCGGUAAUACGUAGGUGGCAAGCGUUGUCCGGAUUUAUUGGGCGUAAAGCGAGCGCAGGCGGUUUUUUAAGUCUGAUGUGAAAGCCUUCGGCUCAACCGAAGAAGUGCAUCGGAAACUGGGAAACUUGAGUGCAGAAGAGGACAGUGGAACUCCAUGUGUAGCGGUGAAAUGCGUAGAUAUAUGGAAGAACACCAGUGGCGAAGGCGGCUGUCUGGUCUGUAACUGACGCUGAGGCUCGAAAGUAUGGGUAGCAAACAGGAUUAAAUACCCUGGUAGUCCAUACCGUAAACGAUGAAUGCUAAGUGUUGG